GCCCUCUUCAACGCUGCGUUUCCAUGCUACAAACAGAGAGCCUGCGCAAGCAGCCUCUCGCAUUCUGCUCCUCGCAUGUGGGAAAUUCGGAGAAAGCUUCAAAGCAGGAGGGGCCUCGUGCCGCCUCCUGUGCUCGGUUCCACGUUCAUCGUUGUGUUCUCGAGUCCGCCUGUGAUGGCCUGGCGUCAUCCCGACGUCUGCAACAGACAUCAGAAAUCUCAGGCCCGGGAGGCCUCGUGUGUAUACCUCUGCUCUGCGGGGGGAAGAUGCGUGGGUUUCUUUCCCGGUGCCUAUGGGAAGUCGUUGCGAAGCUUGUUGCGCAAACUUGAGUGCGAUAUGCAGCGUUUGUCUUGCCUUGUGCAAGAUGAAUCACACAAUUCCGAUCAUUCUGUUGAGGGC
rnacentral:RNase_P_RNA from 2 species